CGGGGUAUAGCUCAGCUUGGCUAGAGUGCAUGAUUUGGGAUCAUGAGGCCGCAGGUUCGAAUCCUGUUACCCCGA
rnacentral:tRNA from 1 species